UUAAAUUUCCCUCUCCUCUCUCAAAACCCUAACUAAUCCUUGGAUCUUCACCACCACCAUCAACCACUCCAUGACGUCGCCGGCCACCUCUUGCCCUCCGCCACAGCCGCCACCACCACCACCAACCAAUGUUCAAACAUGGCUGCAUGAGACAUGCCAAUUACUUAAAGUGACUGGCACGAUCUGCCCAGCCCAACCAAACCAGUGAAUAUUGAAAGUGAAAGUGAAAGCUGCCCUCUCAACUACUUGCUUUCCAGCCGUUUUGACUCAAAUUACUUAAUGAAGACGAGGACCUGGAUCACUUGCAUUGAGUUUGAGACUAUUGUUCAACAGAGUUUCAGAGAAAUACCUGCAAAUCAUUUCAUUAUAUAGAUUGGAAAAGUAUCUUUUUCUUUUUGAGUAUCUUGAAUAACCUCAUUGAUGAAUGUUUAGAACUCAACAGUCCAAGUAAAGGCCCCUUGCUAUAA